rnacentral:rRNA from 1 species
AUGAACGCUAGCUACAGGCUUAACACAUGCAAGUCGAGGGGCAGCAUUUUAGUUUGCUUGCAAACUGAAGAUGGCGACCGGCGCACGGGUGAGUAACACGUAUCCAACCUGCCGAUAACUCCGGGAUAGCCUUUCGAAAGAAAGAUUAAUACCGGAUAGUAUACGAAUAUCGCAUGAUAUUUUUAUUAAAGAAUUUCGGUUAUCGAUGGGGAUGCGUUCCAUUAGUUUGUUGGCGGGGUAACGGCCCACCAAGACUACGAUGGAUAGGGGUUCUGAGAGGAAGGUCCCCCACAUUGGAACUGAGACACGGUCCAAACUCCUACGGGAGGCAGCAGUGAGGAAUAUUGGUCAAUGGGCGCGAGCCUGAACCAGCCAAGUAGCGUGAAGGAUGAAGGCUCUAUGGGUCGUAAACUUCUUUUAUAUGGGAAUAAAGUUUUCCACGUGUGGAAUUUUGUAUGUACCAUAUGAAUAAGGAUCGGCUAACUCCGUGCCAGCAGCCGCGGUAAUACGGAGGAUCCGAGCGUUAUCCGGAUUUAUUGGGUUUAAAGGGAGCGUAGGUGGAUUGUUAAGUCAGUUGUGAAAGUUUGCGGCUCAACCGUAAAAUUGCAGUUGAAACUGGCAGUCUUGAGUACAGUAGAGGUGGGCGGAAUUCGUGGUGUAGCGGUGAAAUGCUUAGAUAUCACGAAGAACUCCGAUUGCGAAGGCAGCUCACUAGACUGUCACUGACACUGAUGCUCGAAAGUGUGGGUAUCAAACAGGAUUAGAUACCCUGGUAGUCCACACAGUAAACGAUGAAUACUCGCUGUUUGCGAUAUACAGUAAGCGGCCAAGCGAAAGCAUUAAGUAUUCCACCUGGGGAGUACGCCGGCAACGGUGAAACUCAAAGGAAUUGACGGGGGCCCGCACAAGCGGAGGAACAUGUGGUUUAAUUCGAUGAUACGCGAGGAACCUUACCCGGGCUUAAAUUGCAACAGAAUAUAUUGGAAACAGUAUAGCCGUAAGGCUGUUGUGAAGGUGCUGCAUGGUUGUCGUCAGCUCGUGCCGUGAGGUGUCGGCUUAAGUGCCAUAACGAGCGCAACCCUUAUCUUUAGUUACUAACAGGUCAUGCUGAGGACUCUAGAGAGACUGCCGUCGUAAGAUGUGAGGAAGGUGGGGAUGACGUCAAAUCAGCACGGCCCUUACGUCCGGGGCUACACACGUGUUACAAUGGGGGGUACAGAAGGCGGCUACCUGGUGACAGGAUGCUAAUCCCAAAAACCUCUCUCAGUUCGGAUCGAAGUCUGCAACCCGACUUCGUGAAGCUGGAUUCGCUAGUAAUCGCGCAUCAGCCAUGGCGCGGUGAAUACGUUCCCGGGCCUUGUACACACCGCCCGUCAAGCCAUGAAAGCCGGGGGUACCUGAAGUACGUAACCGCAAGGAGCGUCCUAGGGUAAAACUGGUAAUUGGGGCU